rnacentral:pre_miRNA from 8 species
GGGUUUUCUGAAAUUGUGCCAACGUCAGGGAAAGGAUUCUGCUGUCGGUCCCACUCCAAAGUUCAAAAAAUGGGUGGUGGGCACAGAAUCCGGCCUCUGCUUGUGGCAUACGUCGUCUGCUCCCCA